rnacentral:rRNA from 1 species
UACGGAGGGUGCGAGCGUUGUCCGGAAUCAUUGGGCGUAAAGGGCGCGUAGGCGGCUUUGCGUGUCUUUCGUGAAAUCCCUCGGCUCAACUGAGGACGUGCGGAAGAAACUGCAGGGCUGGAGUCCGGGAGAGGAGGGUGGAAUUCCCAGUGUAGCGGUGAAAUGCGCAGAUAUCGGGAGGAACACCAAUGGCGAAGGCAGCUCGCUGGGACGUUACUGACGCUGGAGACGCGAAAGCGUGGGGAGCAA